rnacentral:rRNA from 1 species
UACGUAGGUGGCAAGCGUUGUCCGGAUUUACUGGGCGUAAAGAGCGCGCCGGCGGUUGUUUAAGUCGGAUGUGAAAGCCCCCGGCUCAACUGGGGAGGGUCAUUCGAUACUGAUCGACUUGAAGGCAGGAGAGGGAAGUGGAAUUCCGGGUGUAGUGGUGAAAUGCGUAGAUAUCCGGAGGAACACCGGUGGGGAAGACGGUCUCCGGGGCCGAGGGCCGACGCUGAGGCGCGAGAGCGUGGGGAGCGAACCGG